AAAUUGAAGAGUUUGAUCAUGGCUCAGAUUGAACGCUGGCGGCAGGCCUAACACAUGCAAGUCGAACGGUAACAGGAAGAAGCUUGCUUCUUUGCUGACGAGUGGCGGACGGGUGAGUAAUGUCUGGGAAACUGCCUGAUGGAGGGGGAUAACUACUGGAAACGGUAGCUAAUACCGCAUAACGUCGCAAGACCAAAGAGGGGGACCUUCGGGCCUCUUGCCAUCGGAUGUGCCCAGAUGGGAUUAGCUUGUUGGUGGGGUAACGGCUCACCAAGGCGACGAUCCCUAGCUGGUCUGAGAGGAUGACCAGCCACACUGGAACUGAGACACGGUCCAGACUCCUACGGGAGGCAGCAGUGGGGAAUAUUGCACAAUGGGCGCAAGCCUGAUGCAGCCAUGCCGCGUGUAUGAAGAAGGCCUUCGGGUUGUAAAGUACUUUCAGCGGGGAGGAAGGGAGUAAAGUUAAUACCUUUGCUCAUUGACGUUAGCCGCAGAAGAAGCACCGGCUAACUCCGUGCCAGCAGCCGCGGUAAUACGGAGGGUGCAAGCGUUAAUCGGAAUUACUGGGCGUAAAGCGCACGCAGGCGGUUUGUUAAGUCAGAUGUGAAAUCCCCGGGCUCAACCUGGGAACUGCAUCUGAUACUGGCAAGCUUGAGUCUCGUAGAGGGGGGUAGAAUUCCAGGUGUAGCGGUGAAAUGCGUAGAGAUCUGGAGGAAUACCGGUGGCGAAGGCGGCCCCCUGGACGAAGACUGACGCUCAGGUGCGAAAGCGUGGGGAGCAAACAGGAUUAGAUACCCUGGUAGUCCACGCCGUAAACGAUGUCGACUUGGAGGUUGUGCCCUUGAGGCGUGGCUUCCGGAGCUAACGCGUUAAGUCGACCGCCUGGGGAGUACGGCCGCAAGGUUAAAACUCAAAUGAAUUGACGGGGGCCCGCACAAGCGGUGGAGCAUGUGGUUUAAUUCGAUGCAACGCGAAGAACCUUACCUGGUCUUGACAUCCACAGAACUUUCCAGAGAUGGAUUGGUGCCUUCGGGAACUGUGAGACAGGUGCUGCAUGGCUGUCGUCAGCUCGUGUUGUGAAAUGUUGGGUUAAGUCCCGCAACGAGCGCAACCCUUAUCCUUUGUUGCCAGCGGUCCGGCCGGGAACUCAAAGGAGACUGCCAGUGAUAAACUGGAGGAAGGUGGGGAUGACGUCAAGUCAUCAUGGCCCUUACGACCAGGGCUACACACGUGCUACAAUGGCGCAUACAAAGAGAAGCGACCUCGCGAGAGCAAGCGGACCUCAUAAAGUGCGUCGUAGUCCGGAUUGGAGUCUGCAACUCGACUCCAUGAAGUCGGAAUCGCUAGUAAUCGUGGAUCAGAAUGCCACGGUGAAUACGUUCCCGGGCCUUGUACACACCGCCCGUCACACCAUGGGAGUGGGUUGCAAAAGAAGUAGGUAGCUUAACCUUCGGGAGGGCGCUUACCACUUUGUGAUUCAUGACUGGGGUGAAGUCGUAACAAGGUAACCGUAGGGGAACCUGCGGUUGGAUCACCUCCUUACCUUAAAGAAGC
rnacentral:rRNA from 1 species